CGUAAAGCGAAAGUGAUCCUCUGCGCGCUUGUGCGUAAACACAACAUUGAACGCGUUGGUGAGUGAAAGGAGGUAACAGAUGUGAAAUGGCAAAGAUAAUUAGAAAGAUGCACUUAUUACUCGAAGAAGUGAUUGAACAGUGUAUUCUCCGUGACCGUGGUGAGUGGGAGGACAUUUGUGAGCAAGAGAGCAAUCGAUGUUGUUGUCUGGUUAGCACUAGCAGAGGACCUUUUUGGAUGGUGGCCACGGUACUCACGUCACGAAAAACCAUCAUCUGAAAAUUAAUUGAGUGAAUUCUGGGA